UGGGGAAUAUUGCGCAAUGGGCGAAAGCCUGAUGCAGCAACGCCGCGUGAGUGAUGAAGGCCUUCGGGUUGUAAAGCUCUGUCUUCUGGGACGAUAAUGACGGUACCAGAGGAGGAAGCCACGGCUAACUACGUGCCAGCAGCCGCGGUAAUACGUAGGAUGCGAGCGUUAUCCGGAUUUAUUGGGUUUAAAGGGUGCGUAGGCGGCGAUAUAAGUCAGUGGUGAAAUAUUUCGGCUUAACCGAGAGACUGCCAUUGAUACUGUGUAGCUAGAAUAUGGUUGCUGUGAGUGGAAUGUGUGGUGUAGCGGUGAAAUGCUUAGAUAUCACACAGAAUAUCGAUUGCGAAGGCAGCUCACAAAGCCAUUAUUGACGCUGAGGCACGAAAGUGUGGGGAUCAAACA
rnacentral:rRNA from 1 species